AUACGUAGGUGGCGAGCGUUGUCCGGAUUUACUGGGCGUAAAGGGAGCGUAGGCGGAUUUUUAAGUGAGAUGUGAAAUACUCGGGCUUAACCUGAGUGCUGCAUUCCAAACUGGGAGUCUAGAGUGCAGGAGGGGAAAGUGGAAUUCCUAGUGUAGCGGUGAAAUGCGUAGAGAUUAGGAAGAACACCGGUGGCGAAGGCGACUUUCUGGACUGUAACUGACGCUGAGGCUCGAAAGCGUGGGGAGC
rnacentral:rRNA from 1 species